rnacentral:rRNA from 1 species
ACUCCUACGGGAGGCAGCAGUGGGGAAUAUUGCACAAUGGGCGCAAGCCUGAUGCAGCAACGCCGCGUGAGCGAUGAAGGCCUUCGGGUCGUAAAGCUCUGUCCUCAAGGAAGAAUAAAUGACGGUACUUGAGGAGGAAGCCCCGGCUAACUACGUGCCAGCAGCCGCGGUAAUACGUAGGGGCAAGCGUUAUCCGGAAUCACUGGGCGUAAAGGGUGCGUAGGCGGUUUUUCAAGUCAGGAGUGAAAGGCUAUGGCUCAACCAUAGUAAGCUCUUGAAACUGUUAAACUUGAGUGCAGGAGAGGAAAGUGGAAUUCCUAGUGUAGAGGUGAAAUUCGUAGAUAUUAGGAGGAACACCAGUGGCGAAGGCGACUUUCUGGACUGUAACUGACGCUGAGGCACGAAAGCGUGGGGAGCGAACAGGAUUAGAUACCCUGGUAGCUCGAUG